GGGGAUAUAACUCAGUUGGUACAGUGCUUGCCUUGCAUACAUGAGGCCCUAGGUUCAACCCCUAGCAUCACAA
rnacentral:tRNA from 1 species